UACGUAGGAGGCAAGCGUUGUCCGGAGUUACUGGGCGUAAAGCGCACGCAGGCGGUCGUGUCAGUCUGGGGUGACAGUUUCCGGCUUAACCGGAAAAGGACUCUGGAAACUGCACGACUUGAGGGCUUCAGCGGGAUGUGGAAUUCCAGGUGGAGUGGUGAAAUGCGUAGAUAUCGUGAGGAACACCAGAGGCGAAGGCGGCUACCUGGACAAUUGCUGACGCUCAGGCACGAAAGCGUGGGGAGCAAAAGGG
rnacentral:rRNA from 1 species